UUCCUCGCUCACCUGCCGCUCGCCUGCCUCUCGCCUCAGGCCGCCGCAGCUGCCUCAGCCAGCAGCUGAUUCCCCUUUGCAGCUCACAUGGAAUUCGCCACAGGACUUGUGUUGGAUAUUUUCCUGCCUCCGUUUUAGGCCGCAGCCAUUCGGACUGCUUAGACCAAAGGACUUCGUUUGAAAAUCCUGUGUAUAUUCAACUAAUGUGUGUAGGAGAGACAAACCCUCUGGAGGUGCAAGCAGGAGAGACAAACCCUCUGGAGGUGCAAGCAGGAAGGACAAACCAUCUGGAGGUACAAGCCGCAGCUGGAAGGACAAACCCUCUAGAGCUGAGCACAGAUGUCUGGACUGGCAACAUUUAUGAACCCAAUUAACCCACUUAAUGGCACCACAGCCCUUUGUGGAGUGACGGAUUAUUGCAAGCAGACGUGGUACAGCUACUCACCCCUGUCGUGUGCCCUCGUGUCACUGAGGAAAUGAGGGGAGGUAGGAGCCACCAGCAAAACUCUUCAAAGGCUGACUGUUGUGCCAGCUUGACCCCGCGUGAACUGGUGCCAAACGUCGCAGGGAGAGAAAAUACAGGUUGAAAAAGCAGCUUCUGAGCAGGUACUUCAGGUUCACCAGGAGAAUUUAAAGUGGUACUAAAUGCUGAGGAGCAGCAGGAGAAAGUCCAGGACUGGGGCUGUCCUCAGGUGAGCACCACAGGACCCACAUCUGUGCAGCCACUGGAGCAUCCUCUCAUGCACUCUUUGUGCUUAGACGUUGUAGGUACUGCUUAAACUCUUCCCUGGGAUUUGACACUACAGGCUGUGGGUGUCCAGAAUAUCUGUCUGGAGGUGAUCCAGCAGAGUGAUGAAGCCUGCAUCUAAAUUAUCUUUAAAGCCCCCUGCAACAUGAGAAAAUGCUUGGUGGUCAGGGCUUUGCUCAUGAGUGGGUUUAAAUAUAAGCAUGGACUGAACUGCUUUGAAUCAGAGCCUGGGUAAGUUGGGUUUUUACAGACUUGAGACAUGAGCAGUGUGCUGGCAACUGAAGUAGCAAUUCUGCUGUUCAAAGAUUAAAUGAACUAGGAUUCCAGUCUUUCAUGCUUUCCCUCACUUUAUCCUUAAGCAACAUCUGUGCAACCAUUGGACUUGAUGAUCUUAAAGGUCUUUUGCACCAAAAAUGGUUCUGUGAUUCUAUAAUUCUCUAUGAUUUCACAAUUCCAUGAUUCUAUUAUCUAUUAUUCCUUGGUUCUAUGUUUCCACAAUUCCAGCAUUCUGUGAUUAUAUAAUAUUUUCUUCUAUUCCACUUCAUUAGGAUCUGAUGUAGCCAAAAUACUUCUGGUUUUACUGUUGGUCUCAAGCUGAUGUUUCCUUUUAGUUCAUUAUUCAUUCCAUUCACUGGGCCUGAAAUUGAUGCUUGAUUGUCAUGUAAACUACUUUGCAAAAGCACUUCUGAACUGCAAAGAUAUAGGAGCAGUGGGGACAAUGUAUUCCAGGGAUGUCAGUCCAGAUGACAUGACAGGGUGGUUGUUAAUGGGGUAGCUUUCAAUAGUAACCCACUCAAGUGAUGCUUUUUUUUGUGUGCAACUUGUAAAGGUGGAUUCUAAACACAUCCAGCCACAGUUAAAAAAGCAAUUUAGACACAA